rnacentral:tRNA from 2 species
CGGCCUCUAGCAUAGUGGGAGUGCGCCAGUCUGAUACGCUGGCGAGGUUGGUUCGAUUCCAACGGGGCCGA